UUACCGGCUUGANAGGNCGAAAGCCCUUCGGGCCUAGGUGCUGCAUGGCUGUCGUCAGCUCGUGCCGUGAGGUGUUGGGUUAAGUCCCGCAACGAGCGCAACCCUAUCCUAGUUGCCAACAGAUGGGACUCUAGGAGACUGCCUAUGUAAUAGGAGGAAGGUGGGGACGACGUCAAGUCAUCAUGGCCCUUACGCCGGGCUACACACGUGCUACAAUGGGGUACAAGAGGCAUAGCAAUAGACGCAAUCUCAAAACCGCCUCAGUUCGGAUCGAAGUCUGCAACUCGACUUCGUGAAGCUGGAAUCGCUAGUAAUCGGAAUCAGCAUGUCCGGUGAAUACGUUCCCGGGNCCUGUACACACCGCCCGUCAAGCCAUGGGAGUCGGAGNCCAAA
rnacentral:rRNA from 1 species